UACGUAGGAGGCGAGCGUUGUCCGGAUUUACUGGGCGUAAAGGGCGCGCAGGCGGCCUUGCAAGUAGCGUGUGAAAUCCACCUGCUCAACGGGUGGGGUGCAUGGUAGACUGCAGGGCUAGAGGACGGUAGAGGGGGGUGGAAUUGCUGGUGUAGCGGUGAAAUGCGUAGAGAUCAGCAGGAACACCAGUGGCGAAGGCGGUUGCCUGGAGCUUUGCUGACGCUGAGGCGCGAAAGCGUGGGGAGCGAUCCGG
rnacentral:rRNA from 1 species